CGCGGCCUAUCAGCUUGUUGGUGGGGUGAUGGCCUACCAAGGCGGUGACGGGUAGCCGGCCUGAGAGGGCGACCGGCCACACUGGGACUGAGACACGGCCCAGACUCCUGCGGGAGGCAGCAGUGGGGAAUAUUGCACAAUGGGCGAAAGCCUGAUGCAGCGACGCCGCGUGAGGGAUGACGGCCUUCGGGUUGUAAACCUCUUUCAGCAGGGACCAAGCGCAAGUGAGUGUACCUGCAGAAGAAGCACCGGCUAACUACGUGCCAGCAGCCGCGGUAAUACGUAGGGUGCGAGCGUUGUCCGGAUUUAUUGGGCGUAAAGGGCUCGUAGGCGGCCUGUCGCGUCGGAAGUGAAAGCCCACUGCUUAACGGUGGGUCUGCUUCCGGUACGGGCAGGCUGGAGUAUGGCAGGGGAGACUGGAAUUCCUGGUGUAGUGGUGGAAUGCGCAGAUAUCAGGAGGAACACCGGUGGCGAAGGYGGGUCUCUGGGCCAUUACUGACGCUGAGGAGCGAAAGCGUGGGGAGCGAACAGGAUUAGAUACCCUGGUAGUCCACGCC
rnacentral:rRNA from 1 species